rnacentral:miRNA from 14 species
GUGAGGGCAGGAGCAUUGGGGUACGAGGGUCCACCUCAGACGCUGUGUAUGACACUCCCUCCUCCUCCUCAG